CUGCAAAGCAGAGGGAGCACGGUCAGUGCGGGGCGGCCGGGCCGGCGCGCGGUGACCCCGACGGUCUCGAGGGGGCGUCCCGGAGCAGGGGCGGCUGCCGGCUGCGGCCUCGAGUCCCCGAACAAUGAGCAGCAGGCGGUCUCGGAGACGCUCCCCAUUGUCUGCCGCGGACCUGCCCCCGCCCCGCCCCUUUUGCCUUAAACUGCAUUUGCUUUUAUUAUACGUUAAUAAUUAUCAACCUGGCUGCUCUGACUCAGAGCAGUGUCUUUUAUUCCAGUGAACUAAUUGCAACCUUUUCGUCCUCCUACUCCAUUACCCAAAAUAGAAAAUGCCCAAAAGAACAAAGGAAAGUUUUUUUCUUACACACAAUGCAUUCGCAAUUUUUAAAGAAGAAAGGAAGAGAAGGAAACUACGGUGUAGAAAUGUGUGUGCACCCGUGAGCGCUGGCACGUGUGCGUGACUAGACGGGCAUCUGCUCAUCAGACACCUACUGAAAGCCAAAGGCAGCAGCAAAAAGGUCACCGUGCUCGCCUCUUUAUUCCCAAGACUAAAAAUAGCCCCCUGCCCGAAAGAACUAUUCAGUUACAAAUACCGGGGCAUCCGAGGCUGUGGCCCACGCUCAGUUGCAAGUGAAACUGAAAAUCAAUUUGCUUUGCUGAUGGGCUAGGGAGGCCACAACCAAACAAAGAGCUUCUGGCACGUUGUCACCGCGCACGGCAGAGAAGCCCCGGCUCGGCGCACGCCGGCCGGCGGGGAGGUGAGCCCUGGACCAAGCGCAGCCCGCGAACGUGGGCCCCGGGGUGCGCGUGCGCGGACACGCGGACACACACACACACACGCACACACACACCGGCGUGUACGUGCUGGAACCGCUCGCGGGAUCCAGCACCCAGCUGGAAUUCGCGAGAGCCAAACACAAGCGCGCCCCCGGAUGUGCAGAGUUCAGCCUGCGGAGUAGCAUAGGAGUAAAGACCUGGCUGCCCUGGAAGGUGGGGAGGAAGAAGCAGUGGGGAGCCCAUUUGCCUCUUCUUUUCUUCCUGUCACGGAGGGCAACUUUCGGAAGUCUUCGCCAUACAAUGAGAAGAACUGGGUCUUGACCUGGAAUAUUUUGUGUGCUUAAAAUAUAAUACACGGUCAACAGUACCAUAAUUGAAUCAAGUGUCAGUGGUUUCAGAAGGAAGAAAUUAUAUCUUCAAGUGAAUCCCUUAAUAGAAGUUGGCAUCAUACCCAUAUAUGUUUUGUUUGUUUGUUUGGUUGGUUGGUUGGUUGGUUUUGGUUUGGGGCUGUGUUUUGUUUUAUUUUAUUUUGUUUUAAGACAGGAUCUCACCAUGUAGUACAGGCUGGCCUUGAACUCACUUGUGUAAACCAGGCUGUUCUCAAACUUGUGACGAUCCUCCUGCCUCAGCCUCCAC
rnacentral:lncRNA from 1 species